rnacentral:rRNA from 1 species
AGUGAGGAAUAUUGGACAAUGGGCGAAAGCCUGAUCCAGCCAUGCCGCGUGAAUGAUGAAGGCCUUAGGGUUGUAAAAUUCUUUUAGCUGUGAAGAUGAUGACGGUAACAGCAGAAAAAGCUCCGGCUAACUCCGUGCCAGCAGCCGCGGUAAUACGGGGGGAGCGAGCGUUGUUCGGAUUUACUGGGCGUAAAGCGUGCGUAGGUGGUUUUUCAAGUCAGAAGUGAAAUCCCAGGGCUUAACCCUGGAACUGCUUUUGAAACUGGAUCACUAGAGUGUGGGAGAGGCAAGCGGAAUUCCGAGUGUAGAGGUGAAAUUCGUAGAUAUUCGGAGGAACACCAAUGGCGAAGGCAGCUUGCUGGAACACUACUGACACUGAGGCACGAAAGCGUGGGGAGCAAA